rnacentral:rRNA from 1 species
UACGUAGGGACCGAGCGUUGUCCGGAAUCAUUGGGCGUAAAGAGCGUGUAGGCGGCUUGCUAAGUCUUGCGUGAAAUCUCGGGGCUCAACCCCGAGCGGUCGUGGGAAACUGGCAGGCUAGAGUGCGGGAGAGGAGAAUGGAAUUCCUGGUGUAGCGGUGAAAUGCGCAGAUAUCAGGAAGAACACCCGUGGCGAAGGCGGUUCUCUGGAACGCAACUGGCGCUGAGACGCGAAAGCGUGGGGAGCAAACAGG